GACAUCAUCGGAAGUAGAUGUGAUCAGAAAAAAAGGAGUAAAACAGGAAGUGCUGUCAUUGUAAACCGGAAGUAGACGUGACCAGAAAAAAGGUGUAAAUAUCGUUAUUGAGAAGACCCGCGGCCUGACCCACGGCCCGCAAACCCGCAGAGUCGCUGACUCGCGUCUUUGUCCGCACUCGGAACUUCUACCCGCAGGGUACCGCAGGUUUUUGCGUGUAACCCGUGGGUACCUGACUCUACCCCGUGGGACUUAACAUUAGUACUGUCAGUACUACAAAAGGCACCUUUCGAACCUCUUCACACAUCCGACCUAAAAUGGUUAACAUUAAAAGUCGCUUUUCUUAUUGCAAUUACUUCUGCCAAAAGGGUGUCUGAAAUGGCAACAUUGUCGCACAAAGAACCAUGGGUUGUAGUCCACAACGACAGUCGCCCUUCAGACAGCACCUGGAUUUCUACCAAAAGUAGUAUCAAGGUUUCAUAUCAAUCAAGAGAUUGUACUCCCAUCCUUCUGUCCAAAUCCUAAAAGACUGCUACACAAGCUUGAUGUGGUAAGGGUGAUUUAAAUCUACGAACAACGGCUUUUCAACAAUCAGACUCGCUUAUUGUUUAUUAUGAUCCAGCUCACAAAGGUCUAGCAGUGUCAAAAAGGACUAUCACCAGAUGGCUCAUAGAGAUCAUUAAUCAGGCCUACACCCUCAGCGGCAAACAACAACCAUUCCGGGUGGCAGUCCACUCUACAAGAGCACAAAGUACUUAAAGGACCCUUCAAAACCUGGCCACACCAGAGCAGAUCUGUAAAGCAGCCACAUGGGCUUCACCCAACACUUUUAUAAAGUUUUACUAGUUACAUGUUUUUGCUUCUACACAAAGUUUUACAAGCUCCAGAGGGUGGGCCAACAGACCAAUUCUUCUGCCCUGCCUCCAGAGGUCAACCUACACAUUACCCAUACGUCUGCACUGACAGUUCGGGCCUACUAGAAAAGUAUUUUCCGGGAAGGGAUCUCUGACACCUUUGCCUGAUGUGUGACGUGAUGAAAGGAGGAAGUUCUGGACUGAAGAGCUACUGUACAUUUCUCCUGCUUCAUUUGCAUGUCUUCAACCCAACUGUCUGGCAAGAUUUUACAUAAGAGAAUUCAUUUAAUUUAUGUAGCAGAAUAUGACUUUAAUUUUAUCCAUAUAAACAAUUGAAAUGUACUAUGUCAUGAAAGAGAUCAUAUUCAGUUAGUCUAACCAUAGAAAAAACCUAUAUAAAUGUCGGCAUAAAAAAAAAAACAUGUUCUACAUCAUCUAAUGAACCAAUGUGGCAGAAGAUUUAGGGUUAGAUUUAUCAAAAUGUGAGAUCAGAGCUCACCACAAAAAAACUCUCCUACUGAUUCCUAUGUGAUUUUUAAAGGGGUGGUUCAACUUAUAUCACUCUGUACAUAGUACUAAAAGUUAUCUCAAAGGUGAACAAACCCUUUAAGAAGCAUAUUUAUCAAUAGGUGAAAGUUACAGUUCACCAUUUGAUAAAUACACGUUUAAAAAUCCCAUAGGAUUACAUAAACAUAAUGUAAAAGAAACGGCAAAUUUCUCAAAGAUUGUACACCUUCUAAAUUCCGCAUUUGACGACAUUAGAAAAUAGGUGAAAGUUACAGUUCACCAUUUGAUAAAUACACGUUUAAAACCCCAUAGGAUUACAUAAACGUUAUGUAAAAGAAACAGCAAAUUUCUCAAAGAUUGUACACCUUCUAAAUUCCGCAUUUGACGACAUUAGAAAAGUAGCUUGGUAAAUGCACUAUAUUUUUUUCCUUGUGAUGUGUGGUGAAUUUGAAUGCCGUCUCUUUGCUGUAUUUAUACAACAUAGUAAAUAUUCCCCUUAGUGUCA